CCAAUUGAAUAUGACGAGGAAUGUUUCACGUUCCAACUACUACUCUGCAUAUCAUGUACCAAAUGGUAAGCAGAUCCUACAGAAAAAGCACCACUCUUCUCAAAAGGCCACACAACUCGUAUCUUCAUAGAAAAAAAUCUUCUUGAGGGAACUCUCAUUAUCAUCUCCUUGUCUUCAUCCUCCACCAAGCUACUCGCUAAAGUCAAAUCCCACCAUUGCAAAUCAGGAUCAAUUAACUCGGGAACUUUUCAUAUUUUCAUUGACAUCUGCCCCGCAAUUGAGCUUCACAAAGUUGCUACCGUGGGCUAGAAACCACAUGUCAUUCCAAACAUGUAUAUCCCUUCCAUUCCCCACCGGCCACAACAUGCUUUUUUCAACCACUUCCCUCCCAAUCAAUAUGCUACUAGAAACCCAAGAAUCUCUACCUCCCAUUUUAGCUUUCAGGAAACUACGUUGAUGGUAGUAAAUACCCUUCAACAAUUGAGCCUUGUAUGCCUGAGGAUUUUGUAGCUAUCUCCAAGCAAAUUUAGCUAGCAAAGCAUCAUCAAAAGCUUCAAGCAAAUUGCCACCCUCCACCAUGGGCGAAGCACUGCUUGUUUAAUAGUAAUUCUUUCAGAGAUGUACUGUUAGUUCAACCACCAAAAUCUCCUUGGCUGGAAGAAAAAGGGAAUAGCAAAGUGUCUUUUUCUGAUAUUUUCUGCUGCAGAUGUUUUAUUAAGUAAACUAAUCUGCAAUUAGCGGAAGCACCUGUCUGUUAGGUGGAUUCGUGUGCAGCCUGGUUUGAUUUUCCUGUUAUCGCUUGCACUAGUUAUCACCAGCCAUGGGCUCCAAGCCUCCAAAUGUACCGGUUAUUCUUCUCAAUCUGGAAUUCAUUGACAUGUUUUACGGCACUCCACGACUACCACUGCUUUAGCUGAAAAGUGAAUAUUCAGUAGUUGGAUUGCAGUACUUUCCUGUCCAGGAAAGGUAGUCAUAAGGAUGUGAAAGUUGGCAUUAACUGGCUUUUCAAAGCAUAUUACGAAAUCGAAUGCUCAUGGCAUAUUGAUGCGUGGCAUGUAAAGGACUUUGAUAAAUUGGCGAUUUUGACUGGGAAUUAGGAUAAAUCAUUUCUCAAUUUCCUGAUUCUUAAACUAAAUGUUAUCAGUGCUCUACAUUAUUCUGCUUGUUCGUGUAUAAAAGCAAACCGAAGGUUUAA